rnacentral:rRNA from 1 species
GAAUUGACGGGGGCCCGCACAAGCGGUGGAGCAUGUGGUUUAAUUCGAUGCAACGCGAAGAACCUUACCUGGUCUUGACAUCCACGGAAGUUUUCAGAGAUGAGAAUGUGCCUUCGGGAACCGUGAGACAGGUGCUGCAUGGCUGUCGUCAGCUCGUGUUGUGAAAUGUUGGGUUAAGUCCCGCAACGAGCGCAACCCUUAUCCUUUGUUGCCAGCGGUCCGGCCGGGAACUCAAAGGAGACUGCCAGUGAUAAACUGGAGGAAGGUGGGGAUGACGUCAAGUCAUCAUGGCCCUUACGACCAGGGCUACACACGUGCUACAAUGGCGCAUACAAAGAGAAGCGACCUCGCGAGAGCAAGCGGACCUCAUAAAGUGCGUCGUAGUCCGGAUUGGAGUCUGCAACUCGACUCCAUGAAGUCGGAAUCGCUAGUAAUCGUGGAUCA